UACGAAGGGGGCAAGCGUUGUUCGGAAUUACUGGGCGUAAAGGGCGCGUAGGCGGCCUGAUAAGUAGGGGGUGAAAUCCUGCGGCUUAACCGCAGGGCUGCCUUCUAAACUGUCAGGCUAGAGCACAGUAGAGGCAGGUGGAAUUCCCGGUGUAGCGGUGGAAUGCGUAGAGAUCGGGAAGAACAUCAGUGGCGAAGGCGGCCUGCUGGGCUGUUGCUGACGCUGAGGCGCGACAGCGUGGGGAGCAAACAGG
rnacentral:rRNA from 1 species